AAAGGAAAGGGAAGUAUCUAGGCUUACCAAAGAGAAAACAUAUACAGAAAAGGAAAAGAUUUUCUUUCUGUUUCUUGCUCUUACCAAAGAGAAAACUGAAAACAUAUACAGAAAAGGAAAAGGUUUUCUUUCUGUUUCUUGCUUUAAACGAACAGCAGAGUUUCUCAACUGUAUUCGCUUUGAAGCAGAUGCAACCGACACCUUCCGACUCUAGCGGCGGAGGAGCUGGUGGUGGUGGUGGUGGCGGUGGUGGUGAACUGAAUCGAGGUGGGCUUGCCCGCUUUCGCUCAGCUCCUGCCACUUGGUUAGAAGCACUUCUUGAAGACGAAGAAGAGGAGGAACUAUUGAAGCCCAACCAGACUUUGACUCAGCUACUCGCAUCUAAUACUACUUCAACUAGAAAUUCAGUGCCUUUUGGUUCCUCUUCGUCUUCGGUUGAGCCUGGGAAUUUGUUUGAACCGACUGGCUUUAAGAGGCAAAACAGCUCUCCCGCUGAUAUUAUUGGUAACUCUGGCCUCGGGAGUGAUGGGUACUUUUCUAGCUUUGGAAUUCCUUCGAAUUACGAGUACAUAUCGCCGAGUAUGGAUGUGUCUCCAUCCGGUAAAAGGGCUAGAGAGGUCGACUUGCAUCACCCUUCUGCUAAAUAUCCGUCUCUGGCGAAGGGAGAGCAAAGUGGACAGGUACCUGGUGGGGUCUCUAGCUUGAUAGAGAUGGACAUGGAGAAGCUUUUGGAGGAUUCAGUGCCUUGUAGGGUUCGUGCAAAGCGAGGCUGUGCCACACAUCCUCGGAGUAUUGCAGAGAGGGUUCGAAGAACUCGAAUCAGUGACCGAAUAAGGAAGCUGCAGGAACUAGUUCCGAACAUGGAUAAGUUAUUAAAAGCGCAGGUGCACUAAUAUGCAAAGGGAUGCUGGGCCCCAGGUGCAAGGAGCAAGCAUGCACUUGAAUGAGCAAACAAACACUGCAGAUAUGUUGGACGAGGCAGUAGAGUAUGUUAAGUUUCUUCAAAGACAAAUUCAGGAGCUUACGGAACAUCAAAGGAAAUGCACGUGCAUUGCUAAAGAAUAACAGCAACAAGGUUACAGCUACCCUCUGUUUACUGUAAUUAUCAGAUUUUUGAAGUGCUUUGCUGCAGUUCAUUGAAAAUCCAUCAUGUUUUUACAAUAUUCCCAUCUUCUGGGUCACACCCUUCUGCAACAAGUAGAUGAAAACCUGUUAGGAGGGUUACAUAAUUAUAAGGUCCAUGAUCCAGGCUUACUGCUUCAUCUUGGAAAAAUUCUUCUCUGAAGUUCACUUGGUAUCUUUGUAGUUGUAAAAUAUUGUACACAAUAAUAUAUUUUUCAAGGUAGUACUUAUCAUGCUUCUAUAUUCAUUUAUAUUUGUUUUUCAUAUCAUGUGAUAUAUUUAGAAAUCUGUAUUUUGUUAAUCUCUCUACAUUAUCAAGAAGUUAUUUGAUCAAUAAAUUCUUUGUCCACUGAUUCAAACA